rnacentral:rRNA from 1 species
AUUGAACGCUGGCGGCAGGCCUAACACAUGCAAGUCGAGCGGAUGAGGGAAGCUUGCUUCCCGAUUUAGCGGCGGACGGGUGAGUAAUGCCUAGGAAUCUGCCUAUUAGUGGGGGAUAGCGUUCCGAAAGGAACGCUAAUACCGCAUACGUCCUACGGGAGAAAGUGGGGGAUCUUCGGACCUCACGCUAAUAGAUGAGCCUAGGUCGGAUUAGCUAGUUGGUGGGGUAACGGCUCACCAAGGCGACGAUCCGUAGCUGGUCUGAGAGGAUGAUCAGCCACACUGGAACUGAGACACGGUCCAGACUCCUACGGAGGCAGCAGUGGGGAAUAUUGGACAAUGGGCGAAAGCCUGAUCCAGCCAUGCCGCGUGUGUGAAGAAGGUCUUCGGAUUGUAAAGCACUUUAAGUUGGGAGGAAGGGUUGUAAGCUAAUAUCUUGCAGCUUUGACGUUACCAACAGAAUAAGCACCGGCUAACUCUGUGCCAGCAGCCGCGGUAAAAC